GCACUGGAAUAGAAGUUCAGGACGAUUUUCAACGCCAUCUAUGUUACUGGCUCACAUCUAAAAGCUUACUUUUUGGUGCUUUAUUUUUGAAUGUUUGUCAAUCUGGAUUCUGAAACUAAGUUGCAAUCAUGCAUCGAGAAACAACCAAGAUUAUUGAAUGAGCAACGUCCAUCUUGCAAAGGUGUUUGAUAUUGUUUGUUUAUUAGCUAUUUGCAUUUUUGUGCAUUUAAAAAGUUAUUAUUUGUUGCGAAUUGUGCUGUCGUGUUUACUUACUCAAUAUGAGUAAACGAGUGAAGGCCUGCUGUGUACCAGGAUGUACGAAUAAGCAAGCGAUAAGACACUCCAUUUCUACGUAUGAAGACGUUUGCAGAAUUUGCUUGCAAAAAAUAAAUAACUUCCAAGUUAUUCCUUGCAGAUACAGUAUUAUCAUUACAUAGAAUAUGUGAUACUCAUUUUGAACCAAUUUGUGGAAACCCCAAUGGCAGGUUAAAGUUUCACUGCCAACUCUACAUUUACCUGGUAAGUACUUAUAUUUAUUGUGACAAUAAACCUCUUAUGAAUCAUAGUGAAUAGUUAUGCAGAGGAAAAGAAUUGCUAUUUCCUCUAAUAGUCAAUGUACCAAUUUAUAAACCAUUCAAUACAAGCUCAAAAUAUACAGGAUAGAUCUUGUUACUCCUUAUGUGUCAGGUUCGGUAGCGAAGAAAUUAUUUAAAAAUCUCAAAUUCACUAAUAUAUUCUAGGAAACAUAAAAAAAUGUUUUAUGUGUGCCUUCAGCAAAAUUCUGUGAUAUUUUUAAAAGUUUUUCUGAUAAAAAUUUCAAAAUAUUGCCCCAGUUAAUCAAUUUAUUAGGCAUAAAGAAACAAAUAUUUCGUUUGGAGGAUUUGACAGACAUAUCCACAAUAUUCUGUUCAGAUCAUAAGGAUUAUGUAAAUAUGUUUGUAAAUAUUAGUUUUAACAUAUGCAUCUUUCAUUACAUAGUUAUUAUUAUUGAAAUUUUGAAGGGCAAAAUUUUAAAUGAAACCAAAAUAUUUUACAAAAUACUUCAUUUAAACUGCAUUUUAAUUUCAAGUAAUUAUAUUUUCUUGUAAACAACAAUAUUUGAAUUUAAAAUGCUAGUUAUUAUCAAAUUUCUCGCGAAUUUAGCAUGAAUAUGAACCUCAGAUCAAAUCUUUGAUUAUAGAAAUCUUUUUUCUUGGUACGGAGCCAUCUCUGAGAGAUGUCGCUAGGAUUGAACUUUGUCGUCAAAUUUUUAUACAGAGUGGCAGAUCUGUCGAGUAUAUAAUGUUUGAGUUAACUUCAAAUUUCACUUUUAUAAUGAAGGUUAUCCGCUUUGUCUACAUGCCCAAUAAAACAAAAUCCUGCCUACAGCGAUAGUAGCGACCUCAAGACGUUUGUAGGAGUAACUAAAAAAUAUGUUUGACCUUGAGAGAACUAAAAAUAGUUCUGUGGAAAAUAUAAUGAAAAAAAGUUUUCAGUUUUUAUUAAUUUAUUAUUUCACUUAUUCCGCUCUUUGUUAUCAUUGAACUUUCAAAAUUGAAUCAUUUAAUGCACUACAGAAGGUUAAAAAUACCUUUUGAUAGUUAUAUGCUUAAUAAUAUUUAUUAAAUAUAGAAAAAUGUGCUCAAUCGACAUCGAGCUUUUUGAAAUGUCCAUAGUAACCCAAAGUUUCAGAAUUCUCAAGUGGUUGCGAUCUCAAGGAUUCAUUAACCUUCAUUGUUUUUAUUUUAUCGAAUCUAUCACUGUAUUCUCUGAAUUUCAUCUUCCAUAAAUCUGUAACAAUAAAUGAGGUUAAGAAAUUAUUAAAUUGGCAGUAGAUGGGCAAGGGCAACUAAAAGUCAUAAUCUCUGCCAUGUUGUAAGCGACCCUAAGCAAAAUUAAAGAACGGGGUCAUGAAGAGCCACAUUCGAUCAAACCUAGUGAAACAACAGCUACCCUUAAUUGAACUCAGCUGAUACUAAAUACCUCGGAUUAAUUUGAAAUUUUUGGAAGUCUCUGAAGACGAUAACUUGGCUGGAUAAGGUAAUAUCCUUACGGCUAUAGGAACUUGUCGGAAGCUCCUUGGAAAUAUAAGCUUAAAAUGUUUUACUGGAUAUACUAAAAGGUCAUCGCUUGUUUAGGGAUCGGAAACUGAACAAACAACAGCUUAGAAAAAACCGAACAACAUUCAAAAGCUGAGUUGUCUUGGUAUCACAGGGACAACAUCAACCACAGCCAUAGAGGCUUUGCUAAAUCUGCCUUUUCUUCACCUUAUAGUAAAAAUGGAGAUGCCCAAGCAAUUUACCUUGUAAAUCAUCUAAAGAUCUUUCCGUGCCUCCAUAAUCACUUGGUAAUAUAGAUUUCGGAAUGUAAUUAUACAAAGUUUCGAAAUUUUCAUGCAUGAUAAUCUAAAAUUCAUUAUUUAAUAGUUUCGAAAGCAAUUUUCAUAUUCAAUUAGCUUCUUAAACUCACCCUAUCCAUAAAUUUCUUUUUAAUAACUGUUUUCGCAAUCGUCAAUAGUAUUUUCACAAGAUCAUGUUUGUAAUUUAGUAUAUGAAUUUCAGCUAUUCGAAGACUUUUACUUUUCUGAAAUCGAAUAAAAAAUACUAUUAUUUCUAAUUCAUACCAUCACCUUUUCAUUUCAAAUCACCCCAGAUACACAAUUCUAUAGGAAAAAAUGUCAUUGAGGAAACGUAUUAUGGUGAUUUUUGCAUAGUGUAGCCAUCAGUCUACCAAAAAUACCAUCAAGUAUGAAAUAGUACAGUCACUACAAUUAAGUUGGUAUUUCUGGAACCUUUGGUUAGGUAGGCCUACUAGAUGAUAAAAACUUAGUUUUCUGGUGAUAUCCAACUAAAAUCGGAAAAACUGUACCCGUAGCUUAUCAAACAAAGAAAGUUCUACGAAAAAUGACACUUGACAGACGUUUAAUGUCUUGACUUAUGAAAUUGAGGGAAAAGAAGACUUACCUCCAAUAAAAACAAUACUUUUUUAAAGAAUAUCGGUGUAGCUUUACGAAGAUGUGCCAUCUUCAUGUCUUUGUUAUCAAAAAUAACCACCAAAGCAGAAAAGAGGUCUUCGAAAGUUGAUACUUCGAGCACAUUUAUUGCAUGUGUUACUAUUUUGUGCGGAUCGAAUAUUUCGACGUUUUCCCCGCAUUUUAUUAUUAUUAUUCGAUACAGCUGAUCAGUCAACUUUGGUAACGGGAUUAUUGUUCUAAAAUAUCAAAAAAUUUUGUCAUAAAUUAGCUGCAGGAUACUUGUAACAAUAGUUUGAAGAUAUUUUAUUCAAUUGCGAUGCUUGCUUUUUUAAAAUAUGGUAAAUUGGACGUUACAUCCUCAAACAGUUCUCCAAAAUGUGUAUCUAGUUAUAGACCCAGAACUGUGGCCGAUGUUGUUGAAGAAAACGAAGCGGUUUCAGCUCUUGAACAAUGGAUAUCAGUAGCACCAAAUAACUUUUUGAAUAAAACUAUUUAGAAAAAAUUUUGAACUUAAAUAUUUUGGAUGAACGAAUCAUCGUCGGAGGGGCCGACUCCCUGCAGGUGGGUCCGUGUUUCUUAAUAUAGUAGUGGAUAAAAUAUAGUAUUUUACAUGCGUAUAAUGGCUAUUUUUUACUUAGUAAAUAAAUAGUCGUUCGUUGUAGAAUAUACAACUUAUUACUCACGUAAUUUUAGGCAAAGUUUCUUGAUAAUUUGGUAGGUUCGGAUCACUAUCUUCAAAAAUUUCUGGUAGUAGUUCUCGAGCUGUAUAAUUCAUAUCCAAAACCUUUUUGGUUUUUUCAAUGCUAUAUUUACAAUUUGUUAAAUAGAAUUCUAUUACUUCGUCAGCUGCAAAA